GUUUCUGUAGUGUAGUGGUCAUCACGUUCGCCUAACAAGCGAAAGGUCCCCAGUUCGAAACUGGGCGGAAACU